GAGUUUGAUCGUGGCUCAGAUUGAACGCUGGCGGCAUGCCUUACACAUGCAAGUCGAACGGCAGCACAGGAGCUUGCUCCUGGUGGCGAGUGGCGAACGGGUGAGUAAUGCAUCGGAACGUAUCCUGGAGUGGGGGAUAACGUAGCGAAAGUUACGCUAAUACCGCAUAUUCUGUGAGCAGGAAAGCGGGGGACCUUCGGGCCUCGCGCUCUUGGAGCGGCCGAUGUCGGAUUAGCUAGUUGGUGAGGUAAAGGCUCACCAAGGCGACGAUCCGUAGCAGGUCUGAGAGGAUGAUCUGCCACACUGGAACUGAGACACGGUCCAGACUCCUACGGGAGGCAGCAGUGGGGAAUUUUGGACAAUGGGGGCAACCCUGAUCCAGCCAUGCCGCGUGAGUGAAGAAGGCCUCGGUU
rnacentral:rRNA from 1 species